UUUCUCUCUCUUUCCUUACAAUUUGCUCUGAUCGCUUUUCAGACUCGGACCUCGCAGUUUCAGAUGAACACUAAGCUAAACCUCGUUGGUUCCUUCAAUUUUUUUAACUUUUUGUAGUCAAUCCCUUCCCACGAAUACAUCAUAGGGAAUUUCUUCUACCGAUUAAUCUACAAUCAUCAUCAGCAACGGUCUGUCUCAAAAUGUUAACUAGUGCAAAGCUCCUUAUCCUUUUAUUUCUGGUCCAAGUACACCAAAUCUGCUAUUCUGCAAGCAACAACUCCUGCAUUCCUUCCUCUUGUGGCCACAUCCGCAACAUUAGCUACCCUUUCCGAUUGAAAACCGAUCCUGUAAUCUGUGGCCAGGAAGAGUAUGAACUUGCUUGCGAGAAUAACGUUCCUGUAGCAUACUUUUUUUCAGCAAAAUAUUAUGUCAAGGAAAUCAAUUACAAUAACUUCACCAUCCGCCUGGCAGAUUCCGAUGUACAAAGCAAUAACUACUGCUCUCUUCCUCCUUAUCCUUCAACCACCGCCUAUUCUUUUCCCUCAUUGUUUUACAGUGCAUAUCCUACGCUGCAAUAUAUCUAUGGCUCUGGCUCUUUAUAUCAGGACUUGGUUUUCGUAACUUGUCCAAAACCAGUCAUUACUGAAGUUUAUGUGGAUGCUUCUCCUUGCAACAUCACUUAUAAUUCCUCUUCUUCCUCCCCCAAUUCGGAAACGGAAGGUUAUUCUUACGUUAAAGUUGGGUCUGAUGGUGCAAUGGAUUUGGAGGACUCUUGCCGUAUCGAGCGAAUUUAUAUUACAUCUUUGUUGCCAAAAGAUUUAAAGAACGUUUCCUAUGCAGAUGUUCACCGUAGUUUGGUAUAUGGGUUUGAGCUUUCAUGGUUUUGGGGUUGUUGCCGGAAUUACACAGAAAACGGCUGCAAGCUAGAUGCUGCUACCAUCAUCGACCAUUGCAAUCCAGGAUCCGGGAUCAUUCAAUUUCCUCAGCUGCGUUCCAUCCUUCUCAAGCUAGAAAAAACUGUUCUCGGUCGUCUACUCCGACGACUCGGUUGGGAUCCGUCACUUUAUUUUGAUUUGGAUUUGCAAGGUUAUGUAUUGGCGCUCCUUCGAUAUGCUCUUGUUCUUUUUGUGUUGUAUCGUGCUCCGUUAUACCUUUGUGCAGUACUUUGGGCUAUCAUAUUUUUUAGUUAUAGGUGGCGAAGGAGGCAUUUUUCAGAAUAUGGUACAAUUGAAGAAUUUUUGGAAAGUCAUAAUAAUCUUAUGCCCGUUAGGUAUUCAUAUUCGGAUAUUAAGAAGAUCACCAAUGGUUUCAAAGAUAAGUUGGGUGAAGGAGGUUAUG
rnacentral:misc_RNA from 1 species